UUUUACCAGAGUCAGUUAUGGAGAAUGGUUAUCUCCUUUAGAAACUGGGCUUUUCUGAGUUUGUUUUAACAUUUCUUUUGAAUCUGGGUGCAUUUUUUUCCUAAAAUCCCUGAUCCUGGUGUGGAGGGGCUGUCCCUACCUCUGUGUCCGUGCUGUAGAGCUGUCGGUGUGCUCAGGGACAAGGGCAGGAGGAACCUUUCAGAUUUCAGCUGCCCCCAAGGAGUGAACCACACAUACGCAGAUAGGUCCUGCCCCAAGGAAAGGGAGGCUAGAGUGACCGUCAGCUAUCUUGAUAUCUUUUGGACAUCUUGGGUGGCAUCACCUCCAUCCCAAUAUGUGUCCGCCUUCAGUAGCGUUCUUGCAAAGUGUCCCGUCCUUCAGCAGCUGGAAAUAAAAAGGAAGGAUACUGCUUUGCAUACUUUUCCUUGAAGUUUAUUAAUGCUUUGAAGAUGUUUUCCAGCUUGUUUCCUGAAGUGUGGAGAAUUCCAGCUUCUCUUGCAGGAACAACAAAAGCCACGAUCUGGGGUCUGUCUCUGCUGGAGGGUUUCGGAUGCUGACCUGGAAUAUACAUCAACGUACGCAGGCACCCUAACAGCGACUGUUGGAUUGUAUUCAGGAGACCUUAUCUGCCAUGCUGCUGAAUCUGUUGGAGUCUGGGAGGGAGAGCCUGCAUUUUCCUUGGGCUCCUGCUAAUUCUGCCUCAAAGAACACGAAGUGCCAGCAUGUCAGAAUGACUGCACCCAAAUGACUUCCCAGCUGAGAUUUUUAACUAGUAGCUGCCUACUGAUUGCAAUCAAGCCUAGAAAAGUGGCUUGGUCUGCCAGCAUCUUCCUUCGCUGUUUGAAACAAAUCCCUUGAGCACUUGAACAGUCUGGCAUACUGUCUGUUCCUGCUCUACUCCUUUUCUAAUGCUGCUAAUACCAGGUGAAUAUUGUUGCUUUCUGCCAGCCACAGUUCUGCCCCUUUGCUGCCUCUGGUAAUUUAUAAAAGCAAAAAAGCCAAGCUUCAGUAUCUCCUUGGUGAGAUAGGGUGAAGUAGCAUUUUUUUCUUGAUCUCGGCUUUAAUCUUGUCUUUGCUUCAUUUAAGGAAGGAAGUUUGGUGGUGUUUUUUGUUUUUUUUUUUUUUUUCUUCUCACUUUGGAGUCAGGUUAUGUGCAAUCCUCUGUCUUCUGCAUCUGUUCUCAUUCUGCCUGUGGGGGGCUCCCACUCUUCCUCUCUGCUGCUUGCGCUCCCUGAGCAUGUGCAGGUCACUCACUGGCUGCCCUUGUGGCUCCCUCACCCAUCAUUUCACAUCCUCCCUGUGUUGUCCAAGAAAUCCAGAGAAAGGCACUCUCUCCCACCGGAGGGCAGCUUCCCCAGAAGCUGUGAUCCUGCAGAUCCUGUGAUGCUAUCGGCUGCAUUUACAAAAGGGACAUUCAGUUGGUGUUCUCUGCUCUGUCAGUGAAAAACAAAAUUAUGUUGAAAGAAGUCUUCCGUUAGAUUCAGUGGGAGUCUGAGACACUUGGACGCAGUGAGGUAGCGAGAGAAAGCUGUGGGACAUGUUCAGCUGGAUGGAACCAAUUGCUGGAGAGACUGGAAGGACGUGGCAUGCGAGCAAACAGCCCUGAACCGGCUCACUUUCUCCCGUACUUCAUUUUUUACAUUGUUGCAGAGGC